CAAUAGCGUAUAUUAAAGUUGUUGCAGUUAAAAAGCUCGUAGUUGGACCUUGGACCUGGACAGGCGGUCCGCCUCACGGCGAGUACUGUCUUGCUGGGUCUUUCCUCUUGGUGAUCUGUUGUUUCGGCAGCAGGGAACCAGGACCUUUACUUUGAAAAAAUUAGAGUGUUCAAAGCAGGCUCGACGCCGGAAUAUAUUAGCAUGGAAUAAUAAAAUAGGACGUGCGGUUCUAUUUUGUUGGUUUUUGGAAUCGCCGUAAUGAUUAAUAGGGACAGUCGGGGGCAUUAGUACUCACAUGCUAGAGGUGAAAUUCUUGGAUUUUGUGAAGACUAACUUCUGCGAAAGCAUUUGCCAAGGAUGUUUNCAUUA
rnacentral:rRNA from 1 species